UGGGGAAUAUUGGGCAAUGGGGGAAACCCUGACCCAGCAACGCCGCGUGAGGGAAGAAGGUUUUCGGAUUGUAAACCUCUGUCCUUGGUGAAGAAAGAGAUGACGGUAGCCAAGGAGGAAGCCCCGACUAACUACGUGCCAGCAGCCGCGGUAAUACGUAGGGGGCAAGCGUUGUCCGGAAUGACUGGGCGUAAAGGGCGCGUAGACGGCUGUCUAAGUCUGGAGUGAAAGUCCUGCUUUCAAGGUGGGAAUUGCUUUGGAGACUGGUUGGCUUGAGUGCGGAAGAGGCAAGUGGAAUUCCCAGUGUAGCGGUGAAAUGCGUAGAGAUUGGGAGGAACACCAGUGGCGAAGGCGACUUGCUGGGCCGUAACUGACGCUGAGGCGCGAAAGCGUGGGGAGCGAACAGG
rnacentral:rRNA from 2 species